rnacentral:miRNA from 2 species
UGAUUGGUACGUCUGUGGGUAGA